CGCGGCGUAGAGCAGCUGGCAGCUCGCGGGGUUCAUUCCCCCGAAGUCGCAGGUUCGAGUCCUGCCGCCGCAA
rnacentral:tRNA from 3 species